ACGGGGAUGGCGAGCGUUACUCGGAUUCAUUGGGUGUAAAGGGCAGGUAGGCGGUUAUGUAAGUUGGGGGUGAAAUCCUAAGGCUUAACCUUAGAACUGCCUUCAAUACUGCAUAGCUUGAGGCUAGAAGAGGAGAGCGGAAUUCCCGGUGUAAGGGUGAAAUCUGUAGAUAUCGGGAGGAACACCAGUGGCGAAAGCGGCUCUCUGGUCUAGAUCUGACGCUAAUCUGCGAAAGCUCGGGGAGCAAACAG
rnacentral:rRNA from 1 species